GUAGAGAGGUAGAGAUCAUGACUCAUGGGUGAGGCACCAUGGGUGAAGGCACUGGUGGCCAAAAAAAGGGAGAGAGAUGGCUCGAUCGAAUAGAACAAAAUAGGGUCUUAUUAUUUUGUGGAUUUCCAACGAACCCGAGGCCGAUGAGGGUGCACAAAGCCAUGGAAAGGAGGGGAAGGAAAAGAAGAAGGAGGUCGGGGCUUACCUCCAACUCCGAUGAGAUCUCCAAUCAGAAUUUGCGGCAAACACGAGGAGGGCGUGGAUAGCUUCAAUGAGAAAAAUCUGAAAGGAAGAAGAGGAAGAAACUGGUGCUCGUCGUGGCUAGCUAUGG
rnacentral:lncRNA from 1 species